GAUUGUUUUAUUUGAGAAAGUUUUGUAAAUUUUCCUGCAUCUUUCUGGGUUGCAGUUACACCUGUAUCCUCUUCAUGCCGAAGUGAAGCUCCAACCAUCACUAAAACAUCUCAAAGUUGAGGGGUCAAGUGAAGAAAAGUCUGCUGCUACAUCAAAGGAGCAGAUACAAAACAGAAGCCGGUAAUUGGAAGAUAAAAAUCCGACGUGUCUUGCUUAGAGCAACUCUCCACGUGUCAAGGUUUCAGGGAACUAUCUUGGGCAGACGUUAUAGGUGGUAAGUUUAAAAGAUCAAAUAGCUGGACCCGUUAUCUCUUCAGUAGGGUAGAUAGGUCGGUAUCAUUUUCUCUUGGGGAGGGCACAUAGUUGCUUCUGUCACUCUGUAAGCAUUGCUCCAGUGUCAAUUUUUAACGCAAUGUGUUAUCAGCCCAUGUUUCUGAUAAUUUUGCACUGGCUGAACCACAUAAUUGAUGGCUGUCCAUCCCCGUAUUCGCUGGAUCCUUUGGCGGGAUGAAUGUUCGAAUUUCCGGUCUAUAAAUUGAACACCAAACAUGCAUAUCAACCACAACCAUCCACAAACAACCCAUUUCUGGUUUAUAAAGUCCUUCCCCGUUUUCUCCGAUUCAGUGUGGCAAGAAUCACAGAACUGCUAACAAUAAUCUGUUGUAAUUGGGAAUUCUGAGUCUAUAAAUCGAGCAGAAAAAUGGAUAGUUGUCACACUGAAUCGCGUUUUCGAUCUCCGUUUGAUGGUCAUGGGUAUCGUCUUCUCUCGCCGCCACGCACACCAAGUCUCGCCGUCAUUUGGUGAAUUGCCGGGGAGCUGCGUCGCUUUGAUCCUCCUCAGAUCUGCCAGCUAGCGACCUUGAAUCACUGCUUCCUCCGCCGAUUUUUUCUGGGAAUCCAAGCUCCCCGCCAAUUACCGUGCGAUUGUCAGGGAAAUCUUCACCGAUUUUCCCUCCGAUUCGAGCAAAAUAGCCACUUACACCGCUCUUAAUCCAAGAAAGUUUGGUUGGAUAAAAGCACGGGGAAAAUUUGUAUGUGCAUAUCCUUCAAGGGACUAUCCAUAACCGGGAUUGAUGAUCGGAGAUAUUGGAAGGAUAUCCACACUGAAGAAUCCAGUUUCCUUCAAGAAGAUGUGGGAAGAGGAAGCAUACAGUGUGAUUCAUAUCAAGCAAAGCUCUUGAACUACACAUCAUGCAUGACAAAUUGACAAUAAUAAGUGGUUUGUAGACAGACAGAUAUAAUUCCAAUUAUUCUAUUCUAUCUCCAACUACAGAGAUCAGAACAACAGAGAGAAAAGAGCUUGAAGCCAGAAGACGAUGAACUGCGAAAGCAGAUUUGUUAGGCUUAGCAUCAAUGCAGCGUCUAAUAGCGAAGAAAGUAUUGAGAAAUGGAGGCUGCAGAAAGACUAUGUUGCUUGCUUGGCUACUUAGUUGCUGAAAGGGCUGUGCUGCAAAGUUUAAAAAAGUGUCUUGGAAACUGCUUGCAGGCUCUGAAAGCUAUUCCACGGAGUUUGAGAAUGAUGUAUGUACAUAGUUACCAAAGCUAUUUGUGGAACCAUGCAGCAAGUACAAGGGUGCAAAAAUAUGAUGGAGCCUUCAAUCGAGCAAAGGAGUGAUGGUGAUGAGGUAUAAAGAUUGUUAAAGCAACAAUGCAAUUUACAUAUAGCUGUUUUAUCGUUAUAAUGAUAGUUAUAUUUAAAUAUAAAA